UAUGGUUAGAAUUUGCUUUCAAGAUUUCAACUGAAAUAAAAUGUCAAAAUAUCUCAUGACUAUAUUACUAAUUUUAUCAAUAAUAUUUAUAAGUUCUUUUUGAAAUUAAAAGCCAAGACAAUACUUAAUCUAGUCUGGAAAUAAGUUUGUUUUGAUUCCAAAAUUUAAAACAAUUCAAAAUAUAAAAUAUAAAAAAUGUUCAAUCCAAGGUUUAAUUAGGUAUUUGCAGCGUUCUGCCACUAUAAUGGAGUACACCUUACGGUUCCUAUACUUUAUGGUCCAAAGACACCGAACUUCUUUUGAUGGAUCAGCAGCUUAAUAAAACACCGUAUACGAACAAGUUGUGAAAUAAGUAACGACCGUAACGUCCUACGAUAAAAAAAAACUAUCAUCCCAACAAUGUAGGCUGAAUUACAUAAAAAUCGAUAUGCAGACGCAUUUUGUCUAUAAAUCACAGUCGUAAAUAUUGUCCAUUUUAUACAUAUAUUAGAAUACCUACACUCGAACUCGUUCCUCAACGAGAUAUUAAAGCGUCAAGUUUUUAUGUUAAUCUAUAUCAAGCCACCCAAAUUUAAUAGCAUGUAACAGAGCGAGCGGUUCAUAAAAUAGUGUAGCGCCAGGCUAUUGUAUCACGAUUUUAUAGAUCUACGUCAAUAGUUGGUCUUAUUUAUUUUAAAUAUAAUUAUUAAUACACUUAAAUCAAGUUGCAAAAAUCAUAAGAAACUUUAUGCGUCUUCGGCUUUUUUUUGAUUUUAAUGUCGCACAAUUUUAAUAGUUACAUUUAAACGCCUCUAGCAAAUCGAUUGAAGUUCAAAUCGAUUUGAUUUAAACGUUAAACCAAACCUAAAAAUGACCAGAAUAUAACAUUGGCGAGAGUUCGUUUCAAUGACAAUGAAAUUAAUACUCAACAAAUCUUCAGGUGCUCUGUAAAUCACAUACUUUAUGAGUCAUUGUCAAAGACGAAGCCAAAGCGGCGUCGUAGACAGCGCGGCUUUGCGACUUCCCCACUAAUUUGCAAACCUUAUUGAGAUAUAACAGAAGUAUGUAGCUUAGAUUUAAUAAUAAAAUCAGUUAACCGAGUUUUUUUAAUGUAGUAAAAAUACAAAUAGUAUAAUUUUGUAUGAUAUAUUUAAUGUAUCACUAAGUAUUAUAACAACAAUAAAAUAAAAUAGGCAAAAGUUAUUGAUAGAGCAAUCAAAGGAGUUGUUUAUUUAAGCGAAUAGCUCUUUAUUUGGCGUAAAUUAAUUUCCAGGAGAGCCUUUUGUAGAGGUUACUAGAGUUGAUUCCAAGGCUUCCAGUUUUGGGAGCGAGCACGCACGCUAACUGCCCUUAUGAAUAUUUAGAAGGACGAAGCUUCAUUAGUCACUUGUUCGUCGUAGGAAACGGGCGUGUCGAGAUAACGUGUACUGUAUAGGUAUUACACAUAGACAUACAUUAAAUGUUUUUACAUUUAAAUAUUCCACCCGUACACAGAAUUGUUUAAAACAUAAAGCACGUACAUAUCUACUAAUUUUAUUUAAAAUAUUAUUUUAUAUAAAACAAUUGCUCGAAAACAACACAUAACAUAUUUUUAUGUCCGAAAUGAAGAAUUAUAUUUUGGUUAUUUAUAUAUAAUUAUAAUAUAAAUAGCUAAUAGUUAAUGAUAGUUAAUAAUGAUACAAUAGUAUAUCAAAACGUGAACUUUCGCAUUUAUCUUCUAUUAAUAUUAAAACCCCCUCGAAAUCAGCGCCAUUGUCCCGAUAGCGAAAUGAAAGUUCUUUGCAUAUUUAAUAUUUUGAAUAUAUUAUCUACAUUCAUAUUGUAUGUCGUAUUAUAACAAGAUUAUUAUCAGCUUUAAGAAAUUCCAAUAGUCUCUUAAGUAUAAUUGGCUGCGUAUGAAUAGACCACGGACAAACUGUUGUAAGUAUCUAUAACGGUAAGCGAUAACAUUUUGACUAUGAAAUAUCGUUUGAAUAUUAUUUAAAUAUACUUACUAUAUAUAUUUUUUACACGUCAAGAUUAUUUGGAAGCACCUGAGUAAUAUAAUUUACGUGCCUUACGUAAGUAAGUAAACUGCACAGUUACAAACGGGUAUCUAUUUAGGAAUUAAAAACUAGAGAAUACUUUUAUUACCAUAUAACGAGAGAUAGGAAACAUGAGUUAUUGUUGUUUUAUAUGAUGAGAUUUUAUUUUUUGGUUAUAACGAUCGUGAAAGUAAGAUAUUUGGGCAACUGAGCGUGGUGCUGACACAAGUAAAUGAAGCGUGUGGGCGCACUGCUCCGAACUGCUGUUUCGCUACCGCCCUGACUGUAUCACUUGCUCAGUACGAUACAUCGAUAUUGCACUAAUAUUAAUCUAAUUACUGAUUAUGUUUAUUUAUAUCUCACUAUUAUUGUAUCAAGACGUAAGCCUCCAAAUUGUCGUCUUUAAUCAUUCAGUUUUUUAACGGUUUGUUGUAGGGUGACUCGAAGUGAACAACGUGAAUCGUUAAACCUUCUUUUUAAAUAAAAGUUGAAGCUUUAAAAUAUGAACUCAUAUUUACGAGGAAAAACAAUCAAAUAUACGAACGUAUCGAAUUGAAAGAGUCGUAACCCAAAAUAAAAACUGAGGAUGUUCAUCAGACGCGAGACUAUAAAACGAGCCCUAAAAUGUUAAACGACGGCUCAGAAUUGGUGGUAAGGAGAAAUUACAAAAUAAAAGGAUGGGAUUACGGUACUUAUGAAAUUAUUUUUUUAAAGAGAGUCCGUCUUAACCUAUAUUUCACUUUAUGGAUGAACGAUUUUACAGCCGCCUCUCAGACAAUCCAAACGACUACGCCUGUAGAAAGUUUCUGAAAUCAUUACGCAGCGAUCAGUCAAUUGACUAAAACCACUUUUUCUUUUAUAUGCAUUCUUAAAUAUAUAUUAACGGGAAUCAAUAAAAUAUUUAGGGCUCAUUGAACAUGUAAAAAGUAAUUAGUAUCUUUUAUUUAUUGAGGGUUUGGUUGAAGUUGAAAUGAUUUCACCUGUGUAUUGCCUUAUGCGUAAGAGAGUUUGUUAUAAAUUAUAAUUGUUGCUCAUAACUUUAUUAAGAACAACAUUUUACUUUGUACGUAUGUUUAAACUUUAACAUAAAUAUCUUUAUUUAAGGGAUUCAUUAAACAGAAAUUAUGAUUACAGCAGAAGUUUUAGCUUACUAGACUAGUGAGCUUUACAGAAUAGUGAUGUUAUAAGAUUAAUUAUUGUUUGCACGGAAUAAUGUUUAAACAAUGAAUAUAAUGGUUGGGUAACUAAAAGCGAACAAACAAAGCGUGUCGCAGCUACGUACUUAUAUACAACUUAGCGAGUCGUUGAUGCUUCGUGUACUAAAGUAUCUCGAUGGGUACUGUAUGUGUUGUAUGACAAACGCGACCUAUGACGGAUUGUGUCCGACUGUCGCACACUGGUUCUCUUUUGUGCUUCAAUAAUCCGCUGAGUCGUGAUCUGGAGUCUAACGGUGCAGGUUCGCCAGCCUAUUGAGUACGCUCUCGGUAAUAGACACAAUUUUUCAAGCUUUCUCAUAACAUCAUUGAUACUUGCUAAGGCAAAAAUCCAAAUAGUGAUAAAUAGUCUGUGAACUCAAUUUUUUUAAACUUGACUCGAGGCGUUAUAUUAUAACAUGGACGCAAUAUAAGUAUUGAAGUCUCUUACGCUAUUUUAAAAGAUUUAUGUCUAAUACCUAUUAUAAUGAUUAUGUCACAAUA